AGGAUGAACGCUGGCGGCGUGCUUAACACAUGCAAGUCGAACGAUGAUCCCUAGCUUGCUGGGGGGAUUAGUGGCGAACGGGUGAGUAACACGUGAGUAACCUGCCCUUGACUCUGGGAUAAGCCUGGGAAACUGGGUCUAAUACUGGAUACGACUGACUAUCGCAUGGUGGUUGGUGGAAAGCUUUUGUGGUUUUGGAUGGACUCGCGGCCUAUCAGCUUGUGGUGGGUAAUGGCCUACCAAGGCGACGACGGGGUAGCCGGCCUGAGAGGGUGACGGCCACGACUGGGACUGAGACACGGCCCAGACUCCUACGGGAGGCCAGCAGUGGGGAAUAGUUGCACAAUGGGCGACAAGGCCUUGAUGACGAGCCGACGCCCGCGUGGAGGGACUGGAACGGCCUUACGGGUUGUAAACCGUCCUUUCG
rnacentral:rRNA from 1 species